UACGGAGGGUGCAAGCGUUAUCCGGAUUUACUGGGUUUAAAGGGUGUGUAGGCGGGCUUUUAAGUCUGGGGUGAAAUCUCCGAGCUCAACUCGGAAACUGCCUUGGAUACUAUUAGUCUUGAAUUAUGUUGAGGUUGGCGGAAUAUAACAUGUAGCGGUGAAAUGCAUAGAUAUGUUAUAGAACACCGAUUGCGAAGGCAGCUAACUAAGCGUAUAUUGACGCUGAGGCACGAAAGCGUGGGGAUCAAACAGG
rnacentral:rRNA from 1 species